ACCUGCAGCUCUGACUACAGUAAUCCACCUGAAGCUAAGUAGGUUUAGGCCUGGCUAGUACUUGGAGGGGAGACCAACUAGGAAAGCAGUGUUGCUGCUGGAA
rnacentral:rRNA from 1 species